GAUGAACGCUGGCGGCGUGCUUAACACAUGCAAGUCGAACGGGAAAUAUUUCAUUGAGACUUCGGUGGAUUUGAUUUAUUUCUAGUGGCGGACGGGUGAGUAACGCGUGGGUAACCUGCCUUAUACAGGGGGAUAACAGUCAGAAAUGGCUGCUAAUACCGCAUAAGCGCACAGAGCUGCAUGGCUCAGUGUGAAAAACUCCGGUGGUAUAAGAUGGACCCGCGUUGGAUUAGCUAGUUGGUGGGGUAACGGCCCACCAAGGCGACGAUCCAUAGCCGGCCUGAGAGGGUGAACGGCCACAUUGGGACUGAGACACGGCCCAGACUCCUACGGGAGGCAGCAGUGGGGAAUAUUGCACAAUGGGGGAAACCCUGAUGCAGCGACGCCGCGUGAAGGAAGAAGUAUCUCGGGAUGUAAACUUCUAUCAGCAGGGAAGAUAGUGACGGUACCUGACGAAGAAGCCCCGGCUAACUACGUG
rnacentral:rRNA from 1 species